rnacentral:lncRNA from 1 species
GAACAUGAAAUAAAUAUUAUAUAAAUGUCAGUGAAAACACCUAAAUUGAUUUAUGUCUAUAUUAAUAAGAAAUCUAAAUUCAAAUAUCAAAUAUCUAUAUUCAUCUAGCUACGGGAAAAAUGCACAUACAUCAUCUAAGUGACAAUGUCACAUUAAAUGUCUUCUCAUCUUUCUCUUGCUCUUCCUUAUUUCAAUUUUCCUCGUUCCUGCAUAAUUUAAAAAAGGGUUAAUUAUCAAAUUGCCCCCUAUCGAUUGCGUCCCUAUGUCUUUUAACCCCCUAAAGUCAAAGGAAAGAGCUGCCCACUACCUCAACGUGACUUUUUUGCACCAAUUUCCCCUCUAUCGAUAAGGGUCCCCCUCGCCUGAGCUGCCUACUACCUCAACGUGACUUUUUAGCACCAAUUUCCCCCCAAUCGAUAGGGGUCCCCCUCGUGUUUAGCCCCCUAAAGUCAUGGGGGAGAGCUGCCUCAAUCGAAAAGCUGGAGGGAAAUUGGUGCCAAAAAGCCACGUUAAGGUAGUGGGCAGCUCUCCCCUCUGACUUUAGAGGGCUAAAGGCCAUAGGGACGCCAUCGAUAAGGGGCAAUCUGAUACUUAACCCUUUAAAAAAAUAAAUUAUAUUUUACAAAUAUGGAUAGAGAAUUAAUUGAAAAUAUUGUUAUCAACUCGAUUAUUCAUCUUUUUCCAUCUAUAAAAGUGGCCAAAGAUAUAUAUUACAGAAAUGUUAAAUCAUAAAAUAAUUGAAAUAUAUACUAUUAAGAAUUUGAUCACUUAGCGCAAACUUCUAUUGCUUCACUCCAUUGUUUCAAAUAUAGAUUUUCGUUUCCCCAUAAAACAAAACAGAUGGAGUGAUACAUAUGCUAAUCAUAAUAUGAUAACCUGUAGCACGCAAGAAAAUAGAGCUCAUAGAUGUGCAACAAAUAUUGUAAGUAGACCAAUAUAGUAAAAUAUUAGCAAUAAGAUUUUAUCAUAUUUCAAUAUUCAACUAAAAAUGCACAAUUAAAGAAAUCUAGCUUCGCUAUGUACAAGCAACCCACCUCUUAAUAAUGACAUUACAUGCAUAACAACCAAUCUCUUACGCACUCUCCUGUCAUCUUUUUAAGAACCAACUNCAAACCGAAUAAAUGAAAAUUAUUUGAAAGCAAAAAACCAAGGAAAAUAAACUCAAAAUUAAAUAAAAACAUAAAUAUUAAAAAUCAUAAUAAAUCAGCACAUUAACAGAAAAAGCCUAAUUUAUUUUCACUUAAUACAUAUCAUUGUCGAGACAAAUUCUGACCAACGCCAUUUGAAAAAUCUGGAUCCCAGCAUAGCACAUUCGAAUCUAUGGAAUACUCUCAAUUAAUCACCAGGGUUACGAAAAAGAAACCUGAGUUCUUUUUAGUUCGAGACUGCAAGGAAAAAAAUUAAUUACCGUGGAGUGGUCGAAAACAAAGAUGAAGAGCAUAUUGAAGAUAAUCAAAUCUCUAGGGCUAAUCACCUUAAGCGGCGUACAAAGGAAUUGGGACUAGAGUGAAG